rnacentral:rRNA from 1 species
UACGGAGGGGGCUAGCGUUGUUCGGAAUUACUGGGCGUAAAGCGCACGUAGGCGGCUUUGUAAGUUAGAGGUGAAAGCCCGGGGCUCAACUCCGGAACUGCCUUUAAGACUGCAUCGCUUGAAUUGUGGAGAGGUAAGUGGAAUUCCGAGUGUAGAGGUGAAAUUCGUAGAUAUUUGGAAGAACACCAGUGGCGAAGGCGACUUACUGGACACAUAUUGACGCUGAGGUGCGAAAGCGUGGGGAGCAAACAGG